rnacentral:rRNA from 1 species
GAUGAACGCUGGCGGCGUGCCUAAUACAUGCAAGUCGAGCGAACAGACGAGGAGCUUGCUCCUCUGACGUUAGCGGCGGACGGGUGAGUAACACGUGGAUAACCUACCUAUAAGACUGGGAUAACUUCGGGAAACCGGAGCUAAUACCGGAUAAUAUAUUUAACCGCAUGGUUCAAUAGUGAAAGACGGUUUUGCUGUCACUUAUAGAUUGAUCCGCGCCGCAUUAGCUAGUUGGUAAGGUAACGGCUUACCAAGGCAACGAUGCGUAGCCGACCUGAGAGAGUGAUCGGCACCACUAGAACUGAGACACGGUCCAGACUCCUGAGGGAGGCAGCAGUAGGGAAUCUUCCACAAAGGGCGAAAGCCUGACGGAGCAACGCCGCGUGAGUGAUGAAGGUAUUCGGAUCGUAAAACUCUGUUAUUAGGGAAGAACAAAUGUGUAAGUAAAUAUGCACGUCUUGACGGUACCUAAUCAGAAAGCCACGGCUAACUACGUG